AGUGCCCCUAGAGGUGUUGCAGGUGUGGCUGCUGUGUCACAUGUGUGUCCAGAGGUGGCAGAGAGGAGAGAGGCUAUGUCUAUGCUCACUGUUCUGACCUGUGAACUUCUGAAUGGUUAGUAGCCUAACAUU
ensembl:snoRNA Gm26144 small nucleolar RNA SNORA17